rnacentral:rRNA from 1 species
GAUGAACGCUGGCGGCGUGCCUAAUACAUGCCAGUCGAGCGAACGGACGAGAAGCUUGCUUCUCUGAUGUUAGCGGCGGACGGGUGAGUAACACGUGGAUAACCUACCUAUAAGACUGGGAUAACUUCGGGAAACCGGAGCUAAUACCGGAUGAUAUUUUGAACCGCAUGGUUCAAAAGUGUAAGACGGUCUUGCUGUCACUUAUAGAUGGAUCCGCGCUGCAUUAGCUAGUUGGUAAGGUAACGGCUUACCAAGGCAACGAUGCAUAGCCGACCUGAGAGGGUGAUCGGCCACACUGGAACUGAGACACGGUCCAGACUCCUACGGGAGGCAGCAGUAGGGAAUCUUCCGCAAUGGGCGAAAGCCUGACGGAGCAACGCCGCGUGAGUGAUGAAGGUCUUCGGAUCGUAAAACUCUGUUAUUAGGGAAGAACAUAUGUGUAAGUAACUGUGCACAUCUUGACGGUACCUAAUCAGAAAGCCACGGCUAACUACGUG